rnacentral:rRNA from 1 species
GACGAACGCUGGCGGCGUGCCUAAUACAUGCAAGUUGAGCGAUGAAGAUUGGUGCUUGCACCAAUUUGAAGAGCAGCGAACGGGUGAGUAACGCGUGGGGAAUCUGCCUUUGAGCGGGGGACAACAUUUGGAAACGAAUGCUAAUACCGCAUAACAACUUUAAACAUAAGUUUUAAGUUUGAAAGAUGCAAUUGCAUCACUCAAAGAUGAUCCCGCGUUGUAUUAGCUAGUUGGUGAGGUAAAGGCUCACCACGGCGAUGAUACAUAGCCGACCUGAGAGGGUGAUCGGCCACAUUGGGACUGGGACAAGGCCCAAACUUCUACGGGAGGCAGCAGUAGGGAAUCUUUGGAAAUGGACGAAAGUCUGACCGAGCAACGCCGCGGGAGUGAAGGAGGGUCUCCGAUCGUAAAACUCUGUUGGUAGAGAAGAACGUUGGUGAGAGUGGAAAGCUCAUCAAGUGACGGUAACUACCCAGAAAGGGACGGCUAACUACGUG